rnacentral:tRNA from 1 species
GCUUCCAUAGGUAAAUGGUUUAGUCCUUAUUCCAGUUUGCGUCUGGUAGGUACGGGAGGCUUUUUCACCAAUUAUGUAGUUCCUGCCAAUGUGGAAGGC